rnacentral:rRNA from 1 species
UCCUACGGGAGGCAGCAGUGGGGAAUAUUGCACAAUGGGCGCAAGCCUGAUGCAGCGACGCCGCGUGAGGGAUGAAGGCCUUCGGGUUGUAAACCUCUUUCGUCAGGGAACAAGGCAUCACUUUUUGGUGGUGUUGAGGGUACCUGGAUAAGAAGCGCCGGCUAACUACGUGCCAGCAGCCGCGGUAAUACGUAGGGCGCGAGCGUUGUCCGGAAUUAUUGGGCGUAAAGAGCUCGUAGGCGGCUGGUCGCGUCUGUCGUGAAAACUUCCGGCUCAACCGGGGGCUUGCGGUGGGUACGGGCCGGCUAGAGUGCGGUAGGGGUAACUGGAACUCCUGGUGUAGCGGUGGAAUGCGCAGAUAUCAGGAAGAACACCGAUGGCGAAGGCAGGUUACUGGGCCGUUACUGACGCUGAGGAGCGAAAGCGUGGGGAGCGAACAGGAUUAGAUACCCUGGUAGUCCACGCCGUAAACGUUGGGCACUAGGUGUGAGGCUCCUUUCCGGGGGUUUUGCGCCGUAGCUAACGCAUUAAGUGCCCCGCCUGGGGAGUACGGCCGCAAGGCUAAAACUCAAAGGAAUUGACGGGGGCCCGCACAAGCGGCGGAGCAUGCGGAUUAAUUCGAUGCAACGCGAAGAACCUUACCAAGGCUUGACAUGUUAACCGUGGCUCUAGAGAUAGGGUUUACCCUUUUGGGUGGUUUUCACAGGUGGUGCAUGGUUGUCGUCAGCUCGUGUCGUGAGAUGUUGGGUUAAGUCCC